rnacentral:piRNA from 1 species
ACCUCUGGCUCUGGUAUGAUGUGACGUA